UUAUUCUGCAAACAACAAAGUAAAUUUAGUCUUUUUAAUUAUAAAUAAUAAUAUUUACCACUCAUGUUAGAAAUCCUUAGCUUAACCAUGUCAUAGAUUCGUCCCAUGAUUAUAGCUGUCGUAGCACUAUUUUGUACAGUUCAAUGCUUUAUCAUUUUGUCUAUAGCAUUUUGCCAUUGCUUCUUCAUUUUCAGUAUUUCCUUUUUUUAUAUGCUUUAGACUGUUUUUUCUUGAGUUGAGGGUCUAAUGGAAACAACCUCUCUACCCCCAAGGUAGGUAGGGGGGUAAGGUUUGCGUACGCCCAUCUCUACCCUUCCAGAACCCACUUUGUUUACAUUGGAUAUGUUGUUGUUGUUGAAAUGUACAAUUAUAUUUGUAAGGUACUCCCGAAGUCAAACAUCUAGAGCACGACAAAUAAACAUUUAUUGUUCAGACAUUUUCGUCAAGAAAUCCAGUCAAUGGUAAAAUCAAA
rnacentral:misc_RNA from 1 species